ACGUAGGGAGCAAGCGUUAUCCGGAUUUACUGGGUGUAAAGGGCGCGCAGGCGGGCCGGCAAGUUGGAAGUGAAAUCUAGGGGCUUAACCCCUAAACUGCUUUCAAAACUGCUGGUCUUGAGUGAUGGAGAGGCAGGCGGAAUUCCGUGUGUAGCGGUGAAAUGCGUAGAUAUACGGAGGAACACCAGUGGCGAAGGCGGCCUGCUGGACAUUAACUGACGCUGAGGCGCGAAAGCGUGGGGAGCAAACAG
rnacentral:rRNA from 1 species